rnacentral:rRNA from 1 species
CAAUAGCGUAUAUUAAAGUUGUUGCAGUUAAAAAGCUCGUAGUUGGAUUUCUGGCAGAGUGUCCUCCGUCCAGCAGUUCGUUUGGUUCGGAGCGCUCUACCAUCCUUCUGUUAACCUUUCCGGGAUUUACUUUUCGGACUGGGGCUCAGAUAUUUUACCUUGAGAAAAUUAGAGUGUUUCAGGCAGGCUAUUCGCCGGAAUACAUUAGCAUGGAAUAAUGGAAAAGGACUGCAACCUCUUCUGUUGGUCUGGGAGGCUGAAGUAAUGAUUAAUAGGGAUAGUUGGGGGCGAUUAGUACUUUCCAGUCAGAGGUGGAAAUUACUCCAAUUUGGUUAAAGGAACUAACUUAUGCGAAAGACAUUUGUCCAACGGAGUGUUUUUCUAUUAAUUCAAGAACGAAAGUUAAGGGGGUAGUCAAAGAAUGAUCAGAUACCAU